UACUUGAGAAUGUUCAGAAGUUAAUUAUGGC
rnacentral:piRNA from 1 species